rnacentral:misc_RNA from 1 species
AAAACCCUCCCCAACAACUGUGCACUUUUCUCUCACACGCUCCAUAUCGCGCCAUCGGUCGGACAAGCCUUCCUUAAGCUGAUCUUGAUCUCGAUUUCCCAUUUUUCCUGGUAGGAUAUCGCCAUGGCCGCCUCUGAAGAGAAUAGUGUUUUGUUCCCAAUUUUCAUUUUGACAAUAAUGGCACUGCCUCUAGUGCCUUACACAAUAAUGAAAUUAUGCCACGCUGCCUCUAAGAAAAGUAAGAGCAUCAACUGCA